GUCCAUCACACACACAUUUAUCAGUUACAAGGUGUGAAUAUGGAAUCACAUGACUUUCAAAUUGCUGUUUACUUUCUUCCCAGAUGUCCUGCUACAGCCCAACAUCUCUCUCAGUCCUCCAAAUGGAGGGAUGUUUUGGGAACCUCAGGGGCCAGAGCUGAUCAGGGGCCACAGUUUCUCCAUCACCUGCUCCAUUCAGCCACAGUAUCCUGGAGGCCUCUUCAAUCUGGACUUCACUGGGUCCAACAGGACUGAAACUAAGCCAGCAGUCAACCACUCUGCCUCCUUUCACUUUCCUGUUGCAGACUAUACAGACCAGGGGAACUACAGUUGUGUUUAUGAAGUUAAUGUCUCCACCCUGUCAUUCCAUUCCACCUAAGACAGAGUUGCUGACAGUCAGCAUUCAAGGUAAAAUAUGUUUUCGUUUCAUGUUUUCUAGUGCAUUACCAUGAAGGCCAUAUUUAAGGAUUGUGAGUUUAAAAAAAUAUUGAUAUUAUCAGUCCUAUCAUUCAUGUAAUAUUUUCUUAAGACCAAUUUUUUACAUUGCAGAAGAAUUUGAUAGCUAUACGAAUUAUAAAAUGUGGUCAUCUGAAAGAUGUUGAAUAUGGUGUUUCUCUCCAUAGCAUCCAUAGUCCCCAUUAUUUCCCCUUGUGCAAUAUGUGGGCUACUGCUCCUCCUCCUGCUGCUCAUUCCUUGUCUAGUCUGGAAGAAGAUAAGCAGCAGAGAGCAGUCUAUUAUGAUAAACCCGAGAGAAACCGCCAAUAACAUUAGCACAUAUGGAAACACUGUGGUUGCAGCGAGUGAAGAAAAUGAUGAAGAGGACUAUGUCAACGUAGAAACCUUUGUCAAAAAUAGAAAAUAUGAAGACCUGAAAAAAGGAUGCGAUGCAGAAAUGUAUAUGAAAAAGGAGUUGCUUACCACUAAAAAUAAUGAGUAAGUUAUGCGUUGUCUCUACCUUCUUCCCCUUUGUGCUGUUGUCUGUUGUGCUCCUGCCAUGUUGUGUUGCUACCAUGUUGUGCUCCUGACAUGUUGUGUUGCUACCAUGCUGUGUUGUCAUGUGUUGCUGCCAUGCUAUGUUGUUGUCUUAGGUCUCUCUUUAUGUUGUGUUGUGUUGUCUCUCUUGUUGUGAUGUGUGUUUUGUCUUCUAUUUUUAUUUCAUUUUUAAUCACAGGCCCAGUCCCCGCAGGAGGCCUUUUGCCUUUUGGUAGGCCGUCAUUGUGUAUAUCAAUGAUGUUGCUCUUGCUGCGGGCGAUUCCCUGAUCCACCUCUACGCAGACGACACCAUUCUAUAUACUUUCGGCCCGUCUUUGGACACUGUGCUAUCUAACCUCCAAACAAGCUUCAAUGCCAUACAACACUCCUUCCGUGGCCUCCAACUGCUCUUAA
rnacentral:lncRNA from 1 species